rnacentral:rRNA from 1 species
ACUGACUGCUAUCGGAUUGAUACUAAGCCAUGCGAGUCAUUGUAGUAAUACAAGGCAGACGGCUCAGUAACGCGUAGUCAACCUAACCUAUGGACGGGAAUAACCUCGGGAAACUGAGUAUAAUGCCCGAUAGAACAUUAUGCCUGGAAUGGUCUAUGUUCCAAAUGAUUUAUCGCCGUAGGAUGGGACUGCGGCCUAUCAGUUUGUUGGUGAGGUAAUGGCCCACCAAGACUAUUACAGGUACGGGCUCUGAGAGGAGUGGCCCGGAGAUGGGUACUGAGACACGGACCCAGGCCCUAUGGGGCGCAGCAGGCGAGAAAACUUUGCAAUGUGCGAAAGCACGACAAGGUUAAUCCGAGUGGUUUCUGCUAAAGGAACCUUUUGUCGGUCCUAGAAACACCGAUGAAUAAGGGGUGGGCAAGUUCUGGUGUCAGCCGCCGCGGUAAAACCAGCACCUCAAGUGGUCAGGAUGAUUAUUGGGCCUAAAGCAUCCGUAGCCGGCUUUGUUAGUUUUCGGUUAAAUCUGUACGCUUAACGUACAGGCUGCCGGGAAUACUGCAGAGCUAGGGAGUGGGAGAGGUAGACGGUACUCGGUAGGAAGGGGGUAAAAUUCCUUUGAUCUAUUGAUGACCACCUGUGGCGAAGGCGGUCUACCAGAACACGUCCGACGGUGAGGGAUGAAAGCUGGGGGAGCAAACCGGAUUAGAUACCCGGGUAGUCCCAGCUGUAAACUAUGCAAACUCAGUGAUGCAUUGGCUUGUGGCCAAUGCAGUGCUGCAGGGAAGCCGUUAAGUUUGCCCCCUGGGAAGUACGUACGCAAGUAUGAACUAAA